GUGGGGAAUAUUGGACAAUGGGCGCAAGCCUGAUCCAGCCAUGCCGCGUGAGUGAUGAAGGCCUUAGGGUUGUAAAGCUCUUUCAGUGGGGACGAUAAUGACGGUACCCACAGAAGAAGCCCCGGCUAACUUCGUGCCAGCAGCCGCGGUAAUACGAAGGGGGCUAGCGUUGUUCGGAUUUACUGGGCGUAAAGCGCACGUAGGCGGAUCGUUAAGUCGGGGGUGAAAUCCUGGAGCUCAACUCCAGAACGGCCUUCGAUACUGGCGAUCUUGAGUCCGGAAGAGGUGAGUGGAACUCCUAGUGUAGAGGUGGAAUUCGUAGAUAUUAGGAAGAACACCAGUGGCGAAGGCGGCUCACUGGUCCGGUACUGACGCUGAGGUGCGAAAGCGUGGGGAGCAAACAGGAUUAGAAACCCGAGUAGUCC
rnacentral:rRNA from 1 species